ACAGAAUAAAAGUGACGCUUUAAGAUGAAGUGCAUAAGAAGUGAUGGGUGGGAGAGAAAUUUUGUUGUUCUUUCAUCAUGCCAUGCUCCCCUGGCACCUGAUGCAUAACUUACGAUGUCAGGUACCUUGGUGCCUCUCCGCUGUCAGAAGGGAAGGACAAUGGCGCUGACCUGUGGUGUUGUCAUGAAAACUACCUGAGGUAAUUUAUAAGAGCCCUGUGAGGGCUCAGCCCCCAGAAUGUAGGGCUGUUACGCUCAUUUGCUGUGAGGGCAUCCAACAGCACCAUAAGAGUGGCUGAGCCUGGUCAACAUUAGGUCAACACAAGGACUUUGGGAAGAUGUUAAGACUUCCUCUAGUGGAUCUAGGGAACCGUGGCCAGUGAUUCUUGUACAUCCAUGGGAAUACAAGAUUUAGCACAUUUGCUUACUUCCUGGGUUGGGUUGGAAUUUAUGGAGAAACA
rnacentral:lncRNA from 12 species